rnacentral:tRNA from 1 species
CCCCAGUGGGCUCAGACAGUAGAGAAUCUGCCUGCAAUGUGGGAGACCCAGGUUCAAUUCCUGGGUUGGGAA